rnacentral:rRNA from 1 species
GCACAAGCGGUGGAGCAUGUGGUUUAAUUCGACGCAACGCGAAGAACCUUACCUGGGCUCGAAAUGUAGUGGAAUCCGGCAGAAACGUCGGCGUCUAGCAAUAGACCGCUAUAUAGGUGCUGCAUGGCUGUCGUCAGCUCGUGUCGUGAGAUGUUGGGUUAAGUCCCGCAACGAGCGCAACCCUCGCCUUCAGUUGCCAGCACGUUUGGGUGGGCACUCUGAAGGAACUGCCGGUGACAAGCCGGAGGAAGGUGGGGAUGACGUCAAGUCCUCAUGGCCCUUAUGUCCUGGGCUACACACGUGCUACAAUGGCGGUGACAGUGGGAAGCCAGGCAGCGAUGCCGAGCUGAUCCCAAAAAGCCGUCUCAGUUCAGAUUGCACUCUGCAACUCGGGUGCAUGAAGGUGGAAUCGCUAGUAAUCGCGGAUCAGCACGCCGCGGUGAAUACGUUCCCGGGC